rnacentral:rRNA from 1 species
UGGGGAAUUUUGGACAAUGGACGCAAGUCUGAUCCAGCCAUGCCGCGUGAGUGAAGAAGGCCUUCGGGUUGUAAAGCUCUUUUGUCUGGGAGCAAAUCCUGUUCACUAAUACUGAAUGGGGAUGAGAGUACCAGAAGAAUAAGGACCGGCUAACUACGUGCCAGCAGCCGCGGUAAUACGUAGGGUCCAAGCGUUAAUCGGAAUUACUGGGCGUAAAGCGUGCGCAGGUGGUUACGUAAGUCUGAUGUGAAAUCCCCGGGCUCAACCUGGGAACUGCAUUGGAGACUGCGUAGCUAGAGUGUGGCAGAGGGGGGUGGAAUUCCGCGUGUAGCAGUGAAAUGCGUAGAGAUGCGGAGGAACACCGAUGGCGAAGGCAGCCCCCUGGGCUAACACUGACACU